UGUUUGAUGUUCUAACGUGGACCCGUGAUCCGGGUUGCGGACAGUGUCUGGUGGGUAGUUUGACUGGGGCGGUCUCCUCCUAAAGAGUAACGGAGGAGCACGAAGGUUGGCUAAUCCUGGUCGGACAUCAGGAGGUUAGUGCAAUGGCAUAAGCCAGCUUGACUGCGAGCGUGACGGCGCGAGCAGGUGCGAAAGCAGGUCAUAGUGAUCCGGUGGUUCUGAAUGGAAGGGCCAUCGCUCAACGGAUAAAAGGUACUCCGGGGAUAACAGGCUGAUACCGCCCAAGAGUUCAUAUCGACGGCGGUGUUUGGCACCUCGAUGUCGGCUCAUCACAUCCUGGGGCUGAAGUAGGUCCCAAGGGUAUGGCUGUUCGCCAUUUAAAGUGGUACGCGAGCUGGGUUUAGAACGUCGUGAGACAGUUCGGUCCCUAUCUGCCGUGGGCGCUGGAGAACUGAGGGGGGCUGCUCCUAGUACGAGAGGACCGGAGUGGACGCAUCACUGGUGUUCGGGUUGUCAUGCCAAUGGCACUGCCCGGUAGCUAAAUGCGGAAGAGAUAAGUGCUGAAAGCAUCUAAGCACGAAACUUGCCCCGAGAU
rnacentral:rRNA from 1 species